AAAUCUCUCAGCCCAUCAGUGGAGACAAUUUGAUGUCCCCUUAGGGCAAGACAUGCUUGGAGGGUAUGCCUGUUUCAGGAUUUGAAUUAAAUAAAAUAAAAUAAUGACUGGUGGAUACACCGACUUGGGAGAUCUUCCUUGCCCCAGAUCAUUUUAUAUGAUCCUAGCGAUCUGGGGAGGAGGAGAACUGAGACAAUAAUUGAUGGAUGCCUGGUCUUGCAAAUCCUUGAAGUUCUCCUCCACUCUUAAAAAAUGAGAAAGCUGCACCAGAUAUGGAGAUAUCGAAAUGGGUCUCAAUCAAGACAAGGAAAAGUGGAUGCCAACAAAUUCUCCGUUUUCCACUCCUAUUAGGCUGUUUCAGAGUCGGGACGGUGUACAACACCAAAUAUACAGCUGAAAUACUGAAGAAGAAGAAGAAAACGAAAAGACAUCCUCAAACCUGAUAAUUUACAUUGAAAGAAAGCUACAUGAUUUUCAUAUAAAUGAGGGCAGCCCACUGGUAAUCUUUAUACUGUAACCUAGACAGAAAGGAUCUUUUCAGCUUUUCAGCAAGGUUUGAUUUCAAACCCAAUGCUCAGAAGCGUCCGAGCUGAUUCUAUCGCCGCCUCCUUCUCACCCCCAAGAUCAAGGGUUUCACCAGUUAAUUCGCCUUCUUUGCCCACCGACCACUGGGUUGAAGCAACUUGGUUUUGCAAUGUAUCAGUUUUCUUAAUUGGCAAGCUGCUUAAGGAUGCAGGAGCAGCAGCAGCAGCAGCAAGCGGAGCACUUGGUGGGCCAUGUCGCUUCUUUGGUACAGGCAUGUCAUGGUCAUGUACUCCCUUAUAUGUUAUAAUGACAGCGUUCGUGUUAUCUACCGCUGUUUCAAUGUGCUUUCGGACAGGACAUCCAGCAGAAGUGCAUCGAUAAUAGUUCCUGUAAAAUUCAUUCAUGCAAUAAAUCAGAAGUAUGAUUCAAUA